rnacentral:rRNA from 1 species
UACGUAGGGUGCAAGCGUUGUCCGGAAUUACUGGGCGUAAAGCGCGUGUAGGCGGCUCUGCAAGUCAGGUGUGAAAUCCCACGGCUCAACCAUGGAAGUGCACUUGAAACUGCAGGGCUAGAGUCCUGGAGAGGAAGGUGGAAUGCUUGGUGUAGAGGUGAAAUUCGUAGAUAUCAAGCGGAACACCGGUGGCGAAGGCGGCCUUCUGGACAGUGACUGACGCUGAGACGCGAAAGCGUGGGGAGCAAACAGG